AAACCUGCAUUACUCCACAGCAGCCACUAGAGGGCCUCACUCCCUGUUAAUCCACUAAAACAUGCAGUUCUCCACAGCAGCCACUAGAGGGCCUCCCUCCCUGUUAAUCUACUGGUUGUUGAGUGUUUGGACUGAAGACAAAGACAACAUGACAUCAUGCUGCGACUGAACUUGGUGCAGAAAUAAUCCAAGAAGUCUGCAGACAUGUGUAACGCCUGACAUUCUGCUUCCCAGAGUCUGAGAGACUUUCUAAAAUAUGUGAUCUUUAACUGUUCAAAUCUUAGAGAAAUUCUUUCCUCUUCUGUUCUCUUUAGUCAUGUGUCCCUUCAGGCGCACCGUAUGGAGAAGCUGGCUGCCUACAUAGGCCAUGAAAAGGGUUUCUGGAGAUGUUGUCAUAGUUGCUGAAUUGACUAUCAGAUCACAGAGGCAUCAACACAGGCAGGUUGCAUUAAUAAAAUAUGAACAUGUGUUUCAACGUGUUAGAUUUUUUGCAUAGACAUGAGUGUGAAUGUGUUUCUGGUUGAAGAGUGAGACCAUUUGUUGCCUGGAAUUGCAAAAAUGUGACAAGGAAGAGAUCAGCAGAAAUCUUGCAGCAUGAAGCCAAGAGCAGCCAGAAGCAGUUAGCGUUGGAUCCUGGAGGCAGCAGCAGGCAGAUACCAGCAACCCUCAGAGGAGCUACGGGUCGGACAUGGAGGCAGGUCGGCAGCCCCGACGCCACGGAGACUCAGUACCAAACCUCCUAACCCAGUCUGGCACCGCAAACCCCAACGAAGGAUCAGGCCCACAACCCGGCGUCCGUUAGCCUAGCCUAACCUCCCCCCCACUGCCUACAGCGUCCGAAACCUGUUGGGCAGGAAUCAGCUGUUAGCGUUGGCCAGGACUGACAAAGACCAAGCGGGGAGAGAUGAGGUCACUGUGACAUCACCACUAGGGCUGUGACCAUUUCUCAAAUGAUUUGAAAAUUCCCCGAGGAAAUGAUCUGCCUUGAAACUUCGUUAAAUUAAGUUUUGUUAUUUAGCCACCGUGUUCCGGCCUGGUGUUUAUUCAUGAUGCGCAGCGCUCUAACCCUAACCUUUGACCCUGUUCCUCCUGAGACCAACAAUAAUCUCCUUUGUUUUCUUUACAUUUCAGAUGAUUUGACUGUUCCCUCCGUGACCCGAAGCGGUCCACCAGCUCUCUGUACUCAGCCUCUUGUCCGUCUCUGAUAAACCAGCAACUGCAGAGUAAUCUGAGUAUUUCUGUAAUCUGAGUAUUUCUGUAAUCUGAGUAUUUCUGUAAUCUGAGUAUUUCUGUAGAUGACAGAAGUCAGUCUUGUGCUGGACGUCUGAAGUGUAGAGAGAGAAAAGGAGCCGAGAUAGACGCUCAGUUGUCAGGUGGUCAGGUCAUCAGGUCAACAGGUCAUCAG